GUGAAAUUGGACCUUAUUUCUGCGGGCAUUAACAUCUGAUUGUAGCUGCCAAGAGUGAUGUGACUGGUUGUGUACAGCAUUACAGAUCUUUCAGUGUCAUGGAAUGUAUACCAAGACCUACAUGGCAACAUUCAGCAUAUGUCAUUCAAGAUCCUGGAUUUGGGAUACUUAAGAUUACCAUUUGCUACUACUAUCUGACUACAGAUUUGCAGAAGCUUACACAGUGCCAGCAAACACUGAAGACAGCUCAAGGUUUGAUCAAACCUUUUAUUAUCUGAAGAAUAUAAACAAAAUGAAGAGACAAGC